rnacentral:rRNA from 1 species
AGCACUUGUACUGUGAAACUGCGAAUGGCUCAUUAAAUCAGUUAUCGUUUAUUUGAUAGUACCUUACUACAUGGAUACCUGUGGUAAUUCUAGAGCUAAUACAUGCUAAAAACCCCGACUUCAGGAAGGGGUGUAUUUAUUAGAUAAAAAACCAACGCCCUUCGGGGCUCCUUGGUGAAUCAUAAUAACUUAACGAAUCGCAUGGCCUUGCGCCGGCGAUGGUUCAUUCAAAUUUCUGCCCUAUCAACUUUCGAUGGUAGGAUAGUGGCCUACCAUGGUGGCAACGGGUAACGGGGAAUUAGGGUUCGAUUCCGGAGAGGGAGCCUGAGAAACGGCUACCACAUCCAAGGAAGGCAGCAGGCGCGCAAAUUACCCAAUCCCGAUACGGGGAGGUAGUGACAAUAAAUACUGAUACGGGGCUCUUUUGGGUCUCGUAAUUGGAAUGAGAACAAUUUAAAUCCCUUAACGAGGAACAAUUGGAGGGCAAGUCUGGUGCCAGCAGCCGCGGUAAUUCCAGCUCCAAUAGCGUAUAUUAAAGUUGUUGCAGUUAAAAAGCUCGUAGUUGAACCUUGGGUCUGGCUGGCCGGUCCGCCUCACCGCGAGUACUGGUCCGGCUGGACCUUUCCUUCUGGGGAACCUCAUGGCCUUCACUGGCUGUGGGGGGAACCAGGACUUUUACUGUGAAAAAAUUAGAGUGUUCAAAGCAGGCCUUUGCUCGAAUACAUUAGCAUGGAAUAAUAGAAUAGGACGUGUGGUUCUAUUUUGUUGGUUUCUAGGACCGCCGUAAUGAUUAAUAGGGAUAGUCGGGGGCGUCAGUAUUCAGCUGUCAGAGGUGAAAUUCUUGGAUUUGCUGAAGACUAACUACUGCGAAAGCAUUCGCCAAGGAUGUUUUCAUUAAUCAGGGAACGAAAGUUAGGGGAUCGAAGACGAUCAGAUACCGUCGUAGUCUUAACCAUAAACUAUGCCGACUAGGGAUCGGACGGGAUUCUAUAAUGACCCGUUCGGCACCUUACGAGAAAUCAA